GAUGAACGCUGGCGGCGUGCCUAAUACAUGCGAGUCGAGCGAACAGACGAGGAGCUUGCUCCUCUGACGUUAGCGGCGGACGGGUGAGUAACACGUGGAUAACCUACCUAUAAGACUGGGAUAACUUCGGGAAACCGGAGCUAAUACCGGAUAAUAUAUUGAACCGCAUGGUUCAAUAGUGAAAGACGGUUUUGCUGUCACUUAUAGAUGGAUCCGCGCCGCAUUAGCUAGUUGGUAAGGUAACGGCUUACCAAGGCGACGAUGCGUAGCCGACCUGAGAGGGUGAUCGGCCACACUGGAACUGAGACACGGUCCAGACUCCUACGGGAGGCAGCAGUAGGGAAUCUUCCGCAAUGGGCGAAAGCCUGACGGAGCAACGCCGCGUGUGUGAUGAAGGUCUUCGGAUCGUAAAACUCUGUUAUUAGGGAAGAACAAAUGUGUAAGUAACUAUGCACGUCUUGACGGUACCUAAUCAGAAAGCCACGGCUAACUACGUG
rnacentral:rRNA from 1 species